GUCGGAGUGGCGGAAUUGGCAGACGCGCCAGACUAAGGAUCUGGUGCCCUUAGGGGCGUGGGGGUUCAAGUCCCCCCUCCGACA
rnacentral:tRNA from 1 species